GACGAACGCUGGCGGCGUGCCUAAUACAUGCAAGUAGAACGCUGAAGAGAGGAGCUUGCUCUUCUUGGAUGAGUUGCGAACGGGUGAGUAACGCGUAGGUAACCUGCCUUGUAGCGGGGGAUAACUAUUGGAAACGAUAGCUAAUACCGCAUAACAAUGGAUGACACAUGUCAUUUAUUUGAAAGGGGCAAUUGCUCCACUACAAGAUGGACCUGCGUUGUAUUAGCUAGUAGGUGAGGUAAUGGCUCACCUAGGCGACGAUACAUAGCCGACCUGAGAGGGUGAUCGGCCACACUGGGACUGAGACACGGCCCAGACUCCUACGGGAGGCAGCAGUAGGGAAUCUUCGGCAAUGGGGGCAACCCUGACCGAGCAACGCCGCGUGAGUGAAGAAGGUUUUCGGAUCGUAAAGCUCUGUUGUAAGUCAAGAACGGGUGUGAGAGUGGAAAGUUCACACUGUGACGGAAGCUUACCAGAAAGGGACGGCUAACUACGUG
rnacentral:rRNA from 1 species